rnacentral:rRNA from 1 species
GACGAACGCUGGCGGCGUGCUUAACACAUGCAAGUCGAACGGAAAGGCCCUGCUUUUGUGGGGUGCUCGAGUGGCGAACGGGUGAGUAUCACGUGAGUAACCUGCCCUUGACUUUGGGAUAACUUCAGGGAACUGGGGCUCAUACCGGAUAGGAGCUCCUGCUGCAUGGUGGUGGUUGGAGAGUUGCGGCGGUUGGGGAUGGACUGGCGGCUUAUCAGCUUGUUGGUGGGGUAGUGGCUUACCACGGCUUUGACGGGUAGCCGGCCUGAGAGGGUGACCGGCCACAUUGGGACUGAGAUGCGGCCCAGACGCCUACGGGAGGCAGCAGUGGGGGAUAGUGCACAAUGGGCGGAAGCCUGAUGCAGCAACGCCGCGUGCGGGAUGACGGCCUUCGGGUUGGAAACCGCGUUCGCCUGUGACGAAGCGUGAGUGACGGUAAUGGGUAAAGAAGCACCGGCUAACUACGUG